UACGAAGGUGGCAAGCGUUGUUCGGAUUUACUGGGCGUAAAGGGAGCGUAGGUGGUUAGGUAAGCCCUCCGGGAAAUCUUCAGGCUUAACCUGAAAAGGUCGGGGGGGACUGCCUAGCUAGAGGGCGGGAGAGGAGCGCGGAAUUCCCGGUGUAGCGGUGAAAUGCGUAGAGAUCGGGAGGAAGGCCGGUGGCGAAGGCGGCGCUCUGGAACGUUUCUGACACUGAGGCUCGAAAGCGUGGGGAGCAAACAG
rnacentral:rRNA from 1 species